GGCGAACGGGUGAGUAACACGUGAGUAACCUGCCCCUGACUCUGGGAUAAGCGUUGGAAACGACGUCUAAUACUGGAUAUGAUCACUGGCCGCAUGGUCUGGUGGUGGAAAGAUUUUUUGGUUGGGGAUGGACUCGCGGCCUAUCAGCUUGUUGGUGAGGUAAUGGCUCACCAAGGCGACGACGGGUAGCCGGCCUGAGAGGGUGACCGGCCACACUGGGACUGAGACACGGCCCAGACUCCUACGGGAGGCAGCAGUGGGGAAUAUUGCACAAUGGGCGAAAGCCUGAUGCAGCAACGCCGCGUGAGGGAUGACGGCCUUCGGGUUGUAAACCUCUUUUAGUAGGGAAGAAGCGAGAGUGACGGUACCUGCAGAAAAAGCACCGGCUAACUACGUGCCAGCAGCCGCGGUAAUACGUAGGGUGCAAGCGUUGUCCGGAAUUAUUGGGCGUAAAGAGCUCGUAGGCGGUUUGUCGCGUCUGCUGUGAAAUCCCGAGGCUCAACCUCGGGCUUGCAGUGGGUACGGGCAGACUAGAGUGCGGUAGGGGAGAUUGGAAUUCCUGGUGUAGCGGUGGAAUGCGCAGAUAUCAGGAGGAACACCGAUGGCGAAGGCAGAUCUCUGGGCCGUAACUGACGCUGAGGAGCGAAAGCGUGGGGAGCGAACAGGAUUAGAUACCCUGG
rnacentral:rRNA from 1 species